UCAAUUGAUUAGGUCCAGACUCUGUACAAAUUAAAUGAAAUCAAGUGAAGUACGAGAGUCUGGUAGAACCAGGCUACCUAAAUGAGGCCGUAGCACAGUUAACGGACGAGCAGAGGUGGUGACGUCAUCGAGUCCGCUGCUGUUCCAAUCGCAGGGAAUCCUGGCACUAUCCACUCGCCAUACGCGUCUAGUCGGCGCCGGUGUUGGCUAGUAGCCUACGUCCGGAAUAAAGGCCUCCACACACCGGUGCCGCAGCGGCGCGGCGCGCAUUUUACGCGUGUCAAAAGCACGCCCAUAGCACCAACAGGAGGCGGCGCGACGGCCACGCUGCAGUAUUAAAUCAGGAAGUCACCUGUCAAUCAACCGCAGCAAAGAGACGAAACGCAAUGGAAUAAAUAACUGUUGCCAGACAGAGGGGGGCUGCCCUUCUUCUCCUGCGCUGUAGGCGGGCAAGGAGAAGACGAAGGGUUUGGGUGCACCCCAUCAAUGAACGGAGACAAGAACAGGGGGUAUGCCACAAUCUGGUCCAGGAGCUCCGUGCAGAUCCUGAGAGGCACGCCAAUAUUUCAAUUCGCCACUAAGUGUGCAAUGGCAGAACCAUGUGGUGCAGCCUAUAUGAUGACCUAUAAUCUAGUUAUCAUCCCUCUCUGGUAUACUCUUUUGCAUAUAUAUAUAUGUAUACUUUUUUUUUAUCCCUCGGGAUAAAUACAGUGAUGUUAUUGCUGUGCUGGAUUCAGUAGCCAGUGUAUUUUAUUUGAGUGCUCGAGACACUUAAUGUUAUUUUUCCUUAAAUCCAGAGAGAAAGUUAAUGCAUGAUCUGAUACCAGAGAGACAGUUAAUACAUGACAAUGCAUUUUUGAGCUUUGCCUGUGUUUUCUUUUACUUAUUUAUUUUAUUGUUGAGAAU
ensembl:lncRNA